UAAUUGAAGAGUUUGAUCAUGGCUCAGAUUGAACGCUGGCGGCAGGCCUAACACAUGCAAGUCGGGCGGUAACAGGGAGAAGCUUGCUUCUCCGCUGACGAGCGGCGGACGGGUGAGUAAUGUAUGGGGAUCUGCCUGAUGGCGGGGGAUAACUACUGGAAACGGUAGCUAAUACCGCAUAAUGUCUUCGGACCAAAGCGGGGGACCUCCGGGCCUCGCGCCAUCAGAUGAACCCAUAUGGGAUUAGCUAGUAGGU
rnacentral:rRNA from 1 species